CACGUAGGGGCCAAGCGUUGUCCGGAUUUAUUGGGCGUAAAGAGCUCGUAGGCGGUUCGACAAGUCGGGUGUGAAAACUCCGGGCUCAACCCGGAGACGCCACCCGAUACUGUCGUGACUGGAGUCCGGUAGGGGAGUGGGGAAUUCCUGGUGUAGCGGUGAAAUGCGUAGAUAUCGGGAGGAACACCUGUGGCGAAGGCGGCCCCCUGGUUGGAUACUGACGCUGAUACGCGAAAGCGUGGGGAGCAAACAGG
rnacentral:rRNA from 1 species